rnacentral:rRNA from 1 species
UACGGAAGGCAGCAGUGGGGAAUAUUGCACAAUGGGCGAAAGCCUGAUGCAGCUAUGCCGCGUGUAUGAAGAAGGCCUUAGGGGUUGUAAAGUACUUUCAUCGGGGAGGAAAAAACAAAACUAAUAAUUUUAUUUCUUGACGUUACCCGAAAAAGAAGCACCGGCUAACUCCGUGCCAGCAGCCGCGGUAAUACGGAGGGUGCUAGCGUUAAUCAGAAUUACUGGGCGUAAAGAGCACGUAGGUGGUUUUUUUAAGUCAGAUGUGAAAUCCCUGGGCUUUAACCUAGGAACUGCAUUUUGAAACUGAAAUACUAGAGUAUCGUAGAGGGAGGUAGAAUUCUAGGUGUAGCGGUGAAAUGCGUAGAUAUCUGGAGGAAUACCUGUGGCGAAAGCGGCCUCCUAAACGAAUACUGACACUGAGGGUGCGAAAGCGUGGGGAGCAAACAGGGAUUAGAUACC